rnacentral:rRNA from 1 species
UACGAAGGGGGCUAGCGUUGCUCGGAAUCACUGGGCGUAAAGGGCGCGUAGGCGGAUCUUUAAGUCGGGGGUGAAAGCCUGUGGCUCAACCACAGAAUUGCCUUCGAUACUGGGGAUCUCGAGACCGGAAGAGGUGAGUGGAACUGCGAGUGUAGAGGUGAAAUUCGUAGAUAUUCGCAAGAACACCAGUGGCGAAGGCGGCGCUCUGGGCCGGUACUGACACUGAGGAGCGAAAGCGUGGGGAUCAAACAGG